rnacentral:lncRNA from 1 species
CUCUGAAUUUCCAUUUGCUUUUGAGGGCUGCAAAGUGAUGGAGAGAUUUGAGAGACUGAUCAGUUUUCCUGAAUCAGAGCUCACUCUCCAAGCAGCUGCAACAGAUGUUUCUGGAUUAUACUGAGCAGCCAGAGCAUGAAAAAAAAUCCUGUGUAGGAACAGAAACAGGAGAAAAUGAUGGUACUUGACUCCAGGAAAAUAAACCCAGAACUUGACAGAUUCAGGUGUGAGCUCUGGUCCACGUUUUCCAGCUGCUCAGUGCAAACCCACAGCUCGAGCACAGAAGGAAAAGGCACCAGGAGCAUGUGGAUG